GAGUUUGAUCUUGGCUCAGAAUCAACGCUGGCGGCGUGCCUAAUACAUGCAAGUCGAACGCGAAAGUGGAGCAAUCCAUGAGUAGAGUGGCAAACGGGUGAGUAACGCGUGGGUGACCUGCCUUCGAGUGGGGGAUAACGUUCCGAAAGGGACGCUAAUACCGCAUGACAUCCUGCCUUUUAACAGGUGGAGAUCAAAGCCGGGGAUCGCAAGACCUGGCGCUUGAAGAGGGGCCCGCGUCCGAUUAGCUAGUUGGUGGGGUAACGGCUCACCAAGGCAACGAUCGGUAGCCGGCCUGAGAGGGCGGACGGCCACACUGGGACUGAGACACGGCCCAGACUCCUACGGGAGGCAGCAGUAGGGAAUUGUUCGCAAUGGGCGCAAGCCUGACGACGCAACGCCGCGUGGAGGAUGAAGAUCUUCGGGUCGUAAACUCCUUUCGAUCGAGACGAAUGGCUUCCGGGUGAACAAUCCGGAGGAAUGACGGUACCGAGAGAAGAAGCCCCGGCUAACUCCGUGCCAGCCGCCGC
rnacentral:rRNA from 1 species